GCUGGGCGUGGUGGCACACGCCUGUAAUCCCAGCUACUUGGGAGGCUGAGGCAGGAGAAUCACUUGAACCCGGGAGGCUGAGGUUGCAGUGAGCCAAGAUCGUGCCACUGCACUCCAGCCUGGGUGACAGAGUGAGACUCUGUCUCAA
rnacentral:SRP_RNA from 1 species